UCGAACGAGAAAGUCCUUUCGGGGAUGAGUAAAGUGGCAGACGGGUGAGUAACGCGUGAGAAUCUACCCUUAAGUGGAGAAUACCUUCGAGAAAUCGAAGUUAAUACUGCAUACGUCCCUUCGAAGAGAAAGAUGGCUUAUUUUAGCUGUCGCUUGAGGAUGAGCUUGCGUGCUAUUAGCUAGUUGGUAGGGUAAUGGCCUACCAAGGCGAUGAUGGCUAGUCGGCCUGAGAGGGUGUACGACCACACUGGAACUUAGACACGGUCCAGACUCC
rnacentral:rRNA from 1 species